CCGCCAACAGGACCGAUGCCUCGCGGCCUCGCCGAGCCAACCGGCUCCGCCCGGACCCCGUCCAGCGGCCCUCAGCCUCCGGCCGCUCGCGUCACAGAGCGACCGGCGCCCGCCACGGCGUUGGGCGCUUCCGGAGACAUCGCGAGAUUUCCCGGAAACCCUGUCCCCAGCAAGAGCGUCUGGUCGCCUGGCAACCGCACCGCGCCGCCGAGGAACCUGGCACUGAAGAAACUUGACUUCCAGACUCCGCUCCUUCAGAAAGUGGAAGACCUCUCUCCUUGCAAAAAUCUUACUGUUUUAUAUUUGUAUGAUAACCGUAUCAGUCAAUUGACUAACUUGAAUUAUGCUACAAAUCUGACCCACCUGUACCUACAAAACAACUGUAUUUCAUGCAUAGAGAACCUCAUGUCAUUAAAGAAACUGGAAAAACUGUAUCUGGGAGGCAAUUACAUUGCUGUUAUAGAAGGUUUGGAAGGAGUAGAAGGAUUAAGAGAGCUUCAUGUUGAGAGUCAGAGGCUUCCCCUUGGAGAAAAGCUUCUGUUUGAUCCAAGAACUCUUCAUUCUCUGGCAAAAUCCCUCUCUAUAUUGAAUAUCAGCAAUAAUAAUAUUGAUGACAUAAGAGACCUAGAAAUACUAGAGAAUCUUAAUCAGCUCAUAGCAGUUGACAACCAACUUCUGCAUGUAAAGGACUUGGAAUUUUUACUGAACAAAUUGAUGAAGCUGUGGAAAAUGGAUCUAAAUGGAAAUCCUGUUUGUCUCAAACCCAAAUACAGAGACAGACUGAUACUGGUGUCCAAGUCACUAGAAUUUCUUGAUGGAAAAGAAAUUAGAAACAUGGAAAGACAAUUCCUAAUAAAUUGGAAAGCAUCCAAAGAUGCCAAGAAAAUCAGCAAGAAAAGGAAUAGUCAAACUGAAGAUGCAAGUAACUCACACAUAAGUAAGCAGGCUGUCAUUCAUUAGUUGACCACUUCUAACAGAGGAAUAUUCUCAACAACAACAACAACAACAACAACAACAACAAAAAUGCCAAGAAAUAAGAGAUACCUUCCAAAUGGAAAUGCAUCUGCAGAAAGCUCCCAAGAAGAUAACCCUAAAAUUAUUGAAGAUCUGGGGGAGGAAAAAGUCAGACUCACUGACGUUGUUUUGACCCUCAAACUGAACUUGAUACUGUCGAUGUACACUUUAAUUAAAGAUUAGUUCAAAACUAUUUUUUAUUUAAAGGCUGAUUCUAAACAAAUGUCUUCACUGUUCAAUUAAAAAUAAUUUAUGGUAUCAAAAAGCGUACACAUGAUUGCUUCUCUCUGUGUUUGUCACAGUAAAUACUUCUGACAGAUGUUUCCUCUCUUCAAACAUGCUAGGAGGUGCUUGAGACUUAGUAAUUUUAAAACAGACAUUAAAUGCAUUUACAUAUUGUAAAUAAGAUCCACUGAGAAUUCUGUAGAGCAAUGUACACUGAAGAAAGCAAAUUGUUACUUGAUUAUUUAUCUUUCAAGCAUAAGAAAUGUCCAUAGAGUCAAUCCAUCUCUUUUGUUACUGUAAAAAUAACUGUGUAGCUGGGUUAAAAUACCCUUAGUUUCAGAUACUUUCAAGGAAUGUGAAUCUCUGGGACCCAGAAUUCGCAGGGAAAUGUUCACUGUACAUUAUUUGACUAUUUAUAAAAUACCUACUAUCUUUAGUUAGAAUAUGGAAGUAUUAGAUUUCUUUGAAUUAGAAAGUGAACUUUAAAAAUAGUAAAAAUAACUUGCUUUCACCACUGCUAAGGUUAUGUUUGAACAGUUGUAACAACAGAUCUAUGUGCCUCAAGAGUUUUUAAAACUUAGGUAAUAUUUUUAGUUACAAAACUCUGGGAUGCUCUUAUAUAAACUCAUCUGCAAAGCUCUAAAUGCCUUUAAUUAUGCUAUAUUAAACCUAGCCUCAGUCUAAUUUUAUAUGCAAAAUAAACUAUGUAUCAGUAAUGUAGGUAUAACAUUGAGACUUUGAUUUCCAGUUAGUUCUCAAAGAGCCCUUCUGAAAUUAGGACACCCCUCCUCAAAAAAAAAAAAAG